rnacentral:tRNA from 1 species
AUUUAAAUAGCUUAAAAAGAGUAUAAUAUUGAAGAUAUUAAGGUGGUUGAUAAAUCUUUAAAUA